UGUGCUUUCAGAUCUGGGUCUGGUAUGGCUGUGGAGUCAACGGCUUGCUAUCUGGAUGUACCAGGCCAGCCAGCAGGAGCUUCUGUGUCGUGCUAGAAGGAAAAUAUUGAGAGUUUUGAAAUGAAAUACAAUGCAGAACACAGUGUGAAGAGUGGUGGCUCCUGCAAGCAUCUGGAAACCUGGAUCACAGUCAAGAAGUGACAUAAUUCAACUCUCUGUGAGAAUUCAAAGGAUGCAUCAGGAAAAUCCCAGCCCCCAUUUAUCUGGUUUUACAGCUGCACUGCUCUAUUUGUCCCUCAUUGCCAUGUAGCAAGCCUACACAAAAAUGACAAGUAGACCAUCAAAAAACUGACUACAAAAUGCUG